GCAUGAACAACAAUAGCAGCAGCAACAACAUGAACAGCAGCGACAACAAUUCCUGCUCUAAUGAAAAUAAUAACUAUUCCAAAGUUGAACUGGUCGAAAAGCUGUUCAUGUGGCAACAACAAAAGCGAAAAGCUUAGCAACAAGAAAAACAUCCACAACAACAACAGCAUGGAUCAACUUUUAAUGGGAUGGACUUUGGCAAUGAAUUUCCACAUGCUAAGUGAAGCAAAGCCCCAGCAAAAAAAAAAAAA